rnacentral:rRNA from 1 species
CUACGGGGGGCAGCAGUUAGGAAUAUUCUGCAAUGCGCGCAAGCGUGACAGAUUGAACCAGAGUGUUUUUCAAAUGAAAGACUUUUGUGAAAUGUAAAAAGUUUUACGAAUAAGGACUGGGUAAGACGAGUGCCAGCCGCCGCGGUAAUACUCGCGGUCCAAGUCGCAGCCAUUUUUAUUGGGUCUAAAACAUCCGUAGCUUGCUUGAUAAGUUUCUUGUGAAAUUUUAUAUCUCAAAUAUGAAGCGUGCAAGAAGUACUGUCAAGCUAGAGACUGGAAGACGUAAGAAGUAUGUUUGGAGUAGCGGUAAAAUGUGUUAAUCCCAGACAGACUAACAACAGCGAAGGCAUCUUACGAGGACAGUUCUGACAGUAAGGGAUGAAAGCUAGGGGCGCAAAACGGAUUAGAUACCCUGGUAGUC